UGCACGUUACUAGCUCAGAUGCCAGCCCGCCACGACUCCAGAGGUCAAAGCCGAAUUCGAUUGUUCCUGGCCUUUCUGCCCGGGCUCCUCCGGCUCCGCGCCCUGAAUUCUGUGAUUCCUAGCACUGGAACGUGGUGGGGGGGAGGUCCCCGAUCCUCCAGAUGUCACUUACCAGUCUGUCCUCUAACUCAAACAUGGAGUAAUCAACAGUGAAAUUUGCACCAAAAUAAUCUGGAUCUGGAGAGGAGAAAACAAUCAGUAGUAACAAAAGAGAACGGUAGUACUACCUCUAGUAAUGAAAAGCUGAAGAAAUUGCUCAGAACACUUCAACUUGUUCAAGUUGUAAAAUUUACUGGUAAAAUCUAAUUCUAAUAAACUUGAAUGUGAGAAAUGUCUGU